GGAUGGCGUCGAAAUCGUUCAAAGUGAGCAGCAGAUCAAAUCUGUCUAUCAGUUCAGAUGCAACGGACUCACAGAAGCCCCCACUCCCGCCGACGGUCACCUUCGGUAGGAGAACAUCUUCCGCCCGGUACUCCAGGGACGACCUGGACAGUGAGAUUGGCAGCGUCGACUUCAUGAACUACACCGUCCACAUCCCUCCGACGCCGGACAACCAGCCUAGCACGGACCCUUCCAUCUCCCAGAAGGUGGAGGAGCAGUACGUCUCCAGCUCCCUCUUCACCGGCGGCUUCAACAGCGUCACCCGCGGACAUCUCAUGGACAAGCCGGUACUCCAGGGACGACCUGGACAGUGAGAUUGGCAGCGUCGACUUCAUGAACUACACCGUCCACAUCCCUCCGACGCCGGACAACCAGCCUAGCACGGACCCUUCCAUCUCCCAGAAGGUGGAGGAGCAGUACGUCUCCAGCUCCCUCUUCACCGGCGGCUUCA
rnacentral:lncRNA from 1 species